UCGUACUGCUCCACCACCUUGAGAAAGCUUGAUCUCAGAAGCUAAGCGGGGUUGGGCCUGGUUAGUUCUGGAAGGGAGACCUCUGGUCUGUAGCUGUAGUGGGGC
rnacentral:rRNA from 1 species